ensembl:lncRNA
CCUGGUCUUACAUACAAUGGCUAAGAGCAAAGAACUUGUGCCAACCAACUCUGUAUGGAGUCCAGGAUUCACAGAGGAGCUUCUCCCAGCUUCUAAGCAGAUAUCCCUGCUGUACCACAUCUCCUACCUGUGUCUGGCUAAGUUUCCAAACUUGGAGAGGCUCCUCAGGAAGUGUGCUGGGGAAACCCAACUUCUCUUUGGAUCCUCUGAAGCUCUUCUGCUGAAGUGUAUGGGCACCAGUCAGACCCAGGUUUCAUCACUGUUUCCAAUGCUGAUACAUGCUAUUGAAAAAAACAAACCAACACUGGCGGUAAGGUACCUGGAAAAAGCAAGAACCUGGAUUGAUGAACUUAUUGCAGAUGUGGACAAGAUGGUGCAAAGCUAUGUUCAACACAACGAAGAUGUGGCCACAACUACCAGUGACAUCAUCACUGAAAAGGCAAACACUGAGGCCAAGUCUGAGCAGCUUUCCAAGGAAGUUCAGGAAAUGGAGGGAGCUAUAAAGACCCUUGAAGAAAAGCUUGCCGGAGUUAGGAACGAGCUUGAAGACACCAAAAGGAAGAUAGAUGCCAAAAACCUGGAACUUGAGAGUUAUGUAAGGGACGUGACAAGCAAAAGCUCAGGCCUCGGAAUCUUCGCUGCGAUUGUGCCAUUCAUUGGGCCAAUCGUCAAGUCCAUUUACGAUGCCGCAACAUCCCCCGCUGCUGCUGCAAAAAUCAAAGCUCUUGAAAACCAGCUGAAUCAGCUCACCUCUCAAAAGGCGGCUCUGAUGAACCAACAGUGGAGCAUUGAGGUCCAGCAGAUUGACUUACAGAUGAAACUGGCCAAAGUAAAAAUUGACAAGGGCUCUAUACCCAGCCCUGUCCACCUGAACGAGGUCCAGCGAUAUCUGACUAAAAUCCAGAACAUUCUGAUUCAGAUCAAAAACUUCUGGCAAAAGGUGCACAGUAUGUUGGGUGUCAUGCAGAAAAAGACAUUUGUUAAUGAAGAUCUUGUUGAUGAACCUGAACUUAAAGAAGAAUUUGUGAAUUCAAUCCAAAAGGCUUCAGAGAUUUGGUCAAAUUUUGGUGGUUCCUGUGGUAAAGCUGCUGAAAUAUUCAAAAUACAGUCCAAGGAUGCCUAUGCGUUCCUGGAGAUUGAUCCAUCGUCUCUCUCAGACGCCGUGUGGCAGGAAGAGUAUAACAGUGUUAUGGGACAGCUACAGGAAAUGAAAGUCUUGAACCAGACUCCAG